AGUGAACGCUGGCGGCGUGCCUAAUACAUGCAAGUCGAACGGAGUGGCGCACGGGUGAGUAAUGUAUAGCUAAUCUGCCCUACACUAGUGGACAACAGUUGGAAGAGACUGCUAAUACUCUAUAGUGUAGGAUGAGGCUAUAUUGUAUCAGCUAGUUGGUGAGUUAAUGGCGCACCAAGGCUAUGACGCAUAACUGGUCUGAGAGGAGGAUCAGUCACAAGGGAACUGAGACACGGGACAGACUCCGACGGGAGGGAGAAGUAGGGAAUAUUGCGCAAUGGGGGAAACCCUGAAGCAGCAACGCCGCGUGGAGGAUGACACUUUUCGGAGCGUAAACUCCUGUUGUUAGGGAAGCGGUACCUAACGAAUAAGCACCGGCUAACUCCGUGCCAGCAGCCGCGGUAAUAC
rnacentral:rRNA from 1 species